CGGUCACGUAGGAUGAUAGUGCUUUUGGUUCUAGGUCGCUGGCUAUGAUGGAGUAGGAGAUGUGACCAUUGGAUCCCAAAUCGGGAUCAGAGGCGCUGACUUGAGCGAUGGAGGCUCCAGGUAGAAUGGAUCAAGAAAGAGGCUGGAGUAGUGUGGCAGAAACUGAGAACCAGUGCUUGGAGCUGGGAGACAGCCAGGAACACCAUGGAAAUUGAAGGUGGCUGGUGGCUGGAGUGACCAAAGCUUGGGCAGACAAGGUUUAAUCUUCAAAUUCGAGCGGCUUACAUAACUUCGUUGGAGGAUCUGCUGCCUCGAUCCAGUCAUUCUCACGCUGAUCUCUGCUGUCUUGGCUAGAUGGAGUCGUUCUCAGCACUCACCCCCGGAUUCUCCACACUUAAACACUCAGCCUUCUCUCCGAAUCACGCAGCGCAGUUGGUUCGUAAGUUCUCCGAGCAGAACAAAGACAGCAGGAAGGGAGGCGGCGCUUCCUGCGCUCUGCGCGCCUGCCCCGUGGGCGACUUCCUAUCCACGCAGCCGUUGAGACGUGAGUUCACGCGCGGUAGUUGCUCUCAGCCUCCCAGGAAGGAAAAGGCAACGCCUCACUCGGAGCCAUUAAAUAUCCUGAUGAUGAUGACCCGAAUACUGCAAUCAGAGAGCAGGAGAAAGGGCGACGAAAAUCAAGUGGUUCAAACAGCGCAGGGAGGCCGUGCAUUUUUUUUGGAUGUGUUUGCGAGAGCCCGCGGGGAUGACUGGGUCAGAAUGGCCACUGACUGGACGACAGCGGCACCCAGAGGUUCAGCGUGGUACCUAUCGCAAAUUGCUUCUGAAAUUCCUCAGAAGAAGCCACUGCUUCAUUUCCCGGACUUGUUUUAGAAUAUCAGCUAUGUUAAAGUGAAGAGUAUAA